CCUGCCUGAACUGAUGUGUUCAUUUCAAAGAUUAAGCCAUGCAUGUCUAAGUACAAACGCCCUGGAGCGUGAAACCGCGAACGGCUCAUUAUAACAGCUAUAAUUCACUUGAUCUUGACAUCCUAAUUGGAUAACUGUGGUAAUUCUAUAGCUAAUACAUGCACAAGAGCCCCCUUUGCUGGGGGUGCAUUUAUUAGAGGAAAACCAAGCGGCUUCGGCCGCACAGUGUUGACUCAGAAUAACUAAGCUGAUCGACAGCGAAUGCCGUCGACGUGUCUUUCAAGUAUCUGCCUUAUCAACUUUCGAUGGUAGUGUAUCUGCCUACCAUGGUGGUGACGGGUAACGGAGGAUCAGGGUCCGACUCCGGAGAAGGGGCCUGAGAAAUGGCCACUACGUCUAAGGAUGGCAGCAGGCGCGCAAAUUACCCACUCUCGGCGUGAGGAGGUAGUGACGAGAAAUAACGAGGUGGAUCCCAAUGGGAUUCAUCAUCGGAAUGGGUGCAACUUAAAUCACUCAACGAGUAUCUAUGAGAGGGCAAGUCUGGUGCCAGCAGCCGCGGUAAUUCCAGCUCUCAAAAUGCAUAGAAUUAUUGCUGCGGUUAAAAAGCUCGUAGUAGCCCCGUCACCUUGAACAAAUCAGAGUGCUCAACACAGGCGUCUCGCCUGAAUGUUCGUGCAUGGAAUAAUGGAAGAGGAUUUCGGUUCUGUUUUAUUGGUUUUUUGGAUGCCGAGGUAAUGGUUAAUAGAGACAAAUGGGGGCAUUCGUACCGCUGCGUGAGAGGUGAAAUUCUUGGACCGCAGCGAGACGCACGACAGCGAAAGCAUUUGCCAAGCGUGUCUUCAUUAAUCAAGAACGAAAGUCAGAGGUUCGAAGGCGAUCAGAUACCGCCCUAGUUCUGACCGUAAACGAUGCCAACUAGCGAUCCGGCCGAGAUAUUUGCGCUCGGUUGGGGAGCUUCUCGGAAACGAAAGUCUUCCGGUUCCGGGGGAAGUAUGGUUGCAAAGCUGAAACUUAAAGGAAUUGACGGAAGGGCACCACCAGGAGUGGAGCCUGCGGC
rnacentral:rRNA from 1 species